rnacentral:tRNA from 1 species
GACUAGCUCACCUGGAUAGAGCGUCGUGCUAAUAACGCGAAGGUAUCGGGUUCGAUCCCAGUAGAACA